UCUGCCAUACAGCUCAGUUGGUAGAGCCCAAGACUCUUAAUCUCAGGGUGGUGGGUUUGAGCCCCAUGUUGGGCAGAA